rnacentral:misc_RNA from 1 species
ACGGCCCGCCAGAGGACCCCUAAACUCUGUUUCUAUAUGUAACUUCUGAGUAAAACCAUAAAUAAAUCAAAACUUUCAACAACGGAUCUCUUGGUUCUGGCAUCGAUGAAGAACGCAGCAAAAUGCGAUAAGUAAUGUGAAUUGCAGAAUUCAGUGAAUCAUCGAAUCUUUGAACGCACAUUGCGCCCGCCAGUAUUCUGGCGGGCAUGCCU